AAAAGCAGAAAUAGAAAACCAAAACUAAAACCUAACAAAGCAAAGUGCCAGACUCAGGGGAUCCCCAGGACCUGGACAAGCUUCAGCCUUUUGGGGUUCUUCCCCAGCCCACACUCUGCUAUUGAAGCUUGCAGCUGAGGUGAAGGAGGACCUAGAUGUUAAAGAUGGGGCAGUGAAGCCAGAGUGCCUGGGCUCAAGCGAUACCUGUGUGACUUCAGAUGAGUGAGUGUGGAGACCUGGCCUUCCGUCCCGUUACCACUUCCCCUCUGGGCCUCGGUGCCACACGGUUCUUGCCCUGCAUGAAUUUGUUGAAGGAAAUUUAUUGAAGACAAUGAAGAUUUGUUUAUCAGGAUAUUCAUCUUGGCAGGAAUCGAACUCGCGACUGCCUGGUUGCAAGGCAGGCACUUAUGCCGCUGAGCUAAAUCCCCAGCCCCACAACCAGACUAUUUCAGAUGCUGAGCUGGGACUCCAGGACUUAAUGUGUGCCCUGCUGGAUUUCGGACUUCCUUUGUAGGUUACAGCUAAGAGUUUGCUUUAGAAUUUGGCAGACUUGGGCCUUGGACUUUGCAGCAGUGCUGAAACUGUUAGCGCUUUGGCAGAUCUUGGAGAUGGACUAAAUGUCUUCUGCAUAGAGGAUGUCGGUGAGUCUUUGCGGGGCCAGGGGUGGAAUGUUGUAGUUUGAAUGUUCCCCCAAAGCCUCAUGCAGCCUCAUGGAGGUGACUGAGUCUAGCAUUUGUCAUUGGUUCAUUGCCUAGCGCUGGGAUUGUUGGUGUGAGUGCUGCACCUGCCCAGGGGUGGGCAGCUGGCAUACAAUCUAAAGGAAGAGAGAAGGUGUGCUUUCCCUUUUCUGCCUGUUUCCCCCUUGUCACUUUGUUCACCAUGAAUGGUUGCUCCUCACCUCUGCCAUGCUGCCUUGGAGCCAACUGAGUGUGGACUGAAACCUCCAAAAACUGUAAGAUAAAUACACCUUUCUUUCCUUCAUUUUCAGUGUCAAGUAUUUUGUCUCCAUGACAAAAAAAAGUAGCUAAGACAAUAUCAAUAUCCAUAUUUAUUUAUUCCUAAUUCAAUUCAAUUUCAACUUCCCUAUUCUGCCUUUAUGGUAGCUUCAUUGUGGUUCUUUUGCUAGGGAAAUGGUAAGGUUCAAAGUAUUAUCUGAAGUAUUUGAUGAGAUAUUGUUUCCUGGUACUGCAGAGCAUGCUGUUACCUCGUGGGAACCACUGUCUGUCUCAAUGCUGCCAUCUAACCUGAUUAAUGAAAAGUUUGGGUUUUCCAGCCAAUCUUCUAUGAAGAUCCCCUCUGAAGAACUUUGUUGUUUCUUCGGGUCAACAAGUCUAUUUGUUCCAAAAGUAUCCCUUCUUCACCAUGGCUUAGAAUCACACAAAUAAAGUCACUCCUUUUGCUAUGAUCUUUAGAAACAUUGUA